rnacentral:lncRNA from 1 species
GUAGUCUCGAUCACCCAGACGCAUUAUGAAUAUAGCGUCUGGAUUUUUGUGUCUUUGGAUUUCGUUCAUAGAUGGCGUUUUAAAAUUUGGUAAUGACCUUGACCACAUGUUCCCGGAAGGUAAAAACUUCAGGAAUAUGGACGAUAACAUGCGGCAGUGGUUGACCAGAAUGUGAGUUUCAGUGUAAAAUUAAACGUUUAAACAGCAUGGAAACUAGACAAUUAACUUAUCAAGGUUCAUGUUUACGAAUGUCUCUUUUAA